GGGGGUUGCUGAGGUCUCAGUGUGGAUUUGCCAGUGGGAAAUAAUCUGGGAAACUUGCUAAAGCUUCCUGAGCCUCAUUUGGCUGAUUUUGACAUUGAGGUGUUAACUUUGGCCCUGGGAGGAUCAAUAAAAAUAACACAACACUGAGCAUUUACACCAAAAUUCCAGGCUUCAUAUUUUGAACUUGUACACUAUAUGUGUUCAUGGUUAUAGCUUAUUUUUCCUGAAUCCAUUGACUCUUGAGAUUGAGAGCACACUCACCAGUUGAUGGAUUACCACAGAAGCAUUUUGAUUCUUUUUCAACCCUACUGGGAGAUCGUUUCUCUCUAUUUGCCCUAGCUGGUAAACUAAUUCUCUUCAGAUCCUCUUUAACCAAAUUUCAUUUAUUAUGCUGAAAUGUGAAAUGACCGAUUCUAUUACAAUA
rnacentral:lncRNA from 1 species